CCUACGGGAGGCAGCAGUGGGGGAUAUUGCACAAUGGGGGAAACCCUGAUGCAGCGACGCCGCGUGGGUGAGGAAGUAUUUCGGUAUGUAAAGCUCUAUCAGCAGGGACGAAAAAAGACGGUACCUGACUAAGAAGCCCCGGCUAACUACGUGCCAGCAGCCGCGGUAAUACGUAGGGGGCAAGCGUUAUCCGGAUUCACUGGGUGUAAAGGGAGCGUAGACGGCCGGGCAAGCCAGAAGUGAAAGCGCAGGGCUCAACCCUGUACAUGCUUGUGGAACUGUGGUGCUAGAGUGCGGGAGGGGCAAGUGGAAUUCCUGGUGUAGCGGUGAAAUGCGUAGAUAUUAGGAGGAACACCAGUGGCGAAGGCGGCUUGCUGGACUGUAACUAACGUUGAGGCUCGAAAGCGUGGGGAGCGAACAGGAUUAGAUACCCGGGUAGUC
rnacentral:rRNA from 1 species